rnacentral:rRNA from 1 species
UAGGGAAUCUUCGGCAAUGGGGGGAACCCUGACCGAGCAACGCCGCGUGAGUGAAGAAGGUUUUCGGAUCGUAAAGCUCUGUUGUUAAGGAAGAACGAGUGUGCGAAUGGAAAGUUCAUACUGUGACGGUACUUAACCAGAAAGGGACGGCUAACUACGUGCCAGCAGCCGCGGUAAUACGUAGGUCCCGAGCGUUGUCCGGAUUUAUUGGGCGUAAAGCGAGCGCAGGCGGUUAGAAAAGUCUGAAGUGAAAGGCAGUGGCUCAACCAUUGUAGGCUUUGGAAACUGUUUAACUUGAGUGCAGAAGGGGAGAGUGGAAUUCCAGGUGUAGCGGUGAAAUGCGUAGAUAUAUGGAGGAACACCGGUGGCGAAAGCGGCUCUCUGGUCUGUAACUGACGCUGAGGCUCGAAAGCGUGGGGAGCGAACAGG